ACGGUCAUACUGAUGCUGAAUUCAUUUUAGGUUCUCGUUAGAUCACCGAAGUCAAGCAUCAUUGGGCGCGGUCAGUUUUGGGUGGGUGACCACCUGGGAAAUGCC